CAGCUUACAGUUCAUCUUUCACAUCUGUGGAUUCCUGUGGAGACAAAGAGAGAAUCAGAAUGUUGCUGCUUGAAAGUGGAAAAGGCUGCAAGAACUGAACCCAAGUACUGCUGAUGCUUUCCAAAGCAUUAGGAUUCUUCCAAAAGCAACCCAAGAAAGCCGGUCCAGUUGGGACCUCAUGACUUCAAAAGCUAAUGUUAUCAAGAAACUGUGGUGUUGGAAUGUUCAGCAUAUUCAUGACUUCACACAACAGAGAGACAGAGAAGCUACUGUCAAGUCUACACUCGAAUAACCUGCAAGAUGUGUUAAAUACAACAGUGUUUCACAUAAGCAUUACAUAUAGCAUAACAUUUUAC